rnacentral:tRNA from 2 species
GGGGUGCUAGCUCAAUGGGUAGAGCAGCGGACUUUUAAUCCGUAGGUUCAGGGUUCGAGCCCCUGGCGCCCCACCG